GCUCCCAUCGUCUAGCGGUCCAGGACGUCGCCCUCUCACGGCGAAAACACCGGUUCGAUUCCGGUUGGGAGUGCCA
rnacentral:tRNA from 2 species